rnacentral:lncRNA from 1 species
ACAAAAGACUGAUGUCCGGAGAGGAGAGCCGUGCUGGAGACGGACACUUGAAACCCUUGAAAAUGGAAGACGUCACCGAUCCCCUAAAGAGAGAAUGGAGAAAGGAAAGAAGGGAACCUGGCUCCAGACCCGAAGAGCCUCAGCCUAGCAUUAGAGUGAUUUUUACGUGCCAUUUACUGCCGUGCUCCCUUGAGCAUGGGAAUACCUGCAAGACAAGGAGGGGCCUUCACAGGCAGAGGCGUCAGGGUCAGAACCGUGGAGUGGCCUCGGUGCUGCAGAGGAAGGAUGUCAACCACGGGCGUCUUCGUUUUGGAAAUUGGAGACAUCUUCCCAGGGUCAAAGGAGCCCAGAGAUGGAAGCCAGAUGACUCAACUCCGGAUUGGGGAGGGAUUUCCUUAAAAGACCUCUCAGUUUGUGGGAGCACAGACCAACAUGACCGUGUACCAUACAUGCUCAUCACGCCUGGCUACCCUGAUGUUCUCAGACUCCCAGCCGCUCUGCAGAAAGUGGAGGCUAAACAAAAUCAUCUUCCCUCCCACCGUGGCUCUUGUUCAAUAAAACCAAC